CCUACGGGAGGCAGCAGUGAGGAAUAUUGGUCAAUGGCCGUAAGGCUGAACCAGCCAAGUCGCGUGAGGGAAGACUGCCCUAUGGGUUGUAAACCCCUUUUAUGCGGGGAUAAUGGUGUCCACGUGUGGCUGUUUGCAGGUCCCGCAUGAAUAAGGACCGGCUAAUUCCGUGCCAGCAGCCGCGGUAAUACGGAAGGUCCGGGCGUUAUCCGGAUUUAUUGGGUUUAAAGGGAGCGUAGGCCGGUCUUUAAGCGUGCCGUGAAAUUUUGUGGCUCAAGCAUGGGAGUGCGGCGCGAACUGGAGACCUUGAGUGCGCGGAAGGCGGGCGGAAUGCGUGGUGUAGCGGUGAAAUGCUUAGAUAUCACGAAGAACCCCGAUUGCGAAGGCAGCCUGCCGCAGCGUGACUGACGCUGAAGCUCGAAAGCGCGGGUAUCGAACAGGAUUAGAUACCCUAGUAGUC
rnacentral:rRNA from 1 species